rnacentral:lncRNA from 10 species
CUUACCUUUGACAUGGGAUGAUGCAGCAAGAAAGCCCUUGCUGCAAGAUGCCAGCUUCUUGAUCUUGGACUUCCCAGCCUCCAGAACUGUGAGCCAGGUGUGGUUCUCGGUGAAGACAAGUUCAAUUGAUAUGCUUGAAGAAUUCUAAUUAAGAAACAAGGUAAUUUCAAAGUGCUUCAGUGUUUGCCUUCUCACAUCUUCUGGGACUCCACUCAGUCUGUCUUACAAGAGCCAGGAAAACCAAGACAACAGCAACUGAGUCAGCUCAGGCUACAGAUAUCUUCCCUUCCCCUCUUCUUUUCUUCAUUCAUUUAACAAACAUUUAUUGACUGUGUGUUGGACUGUGCUUAAUGCUGAAGACACAGUGAUGAACAACAUAGUCAUGGUCACUGUCCCCUGGAGCUCACAGUCUCAGCAGAGGCAACUACUCAAGCAGUUACAAUGCAGUAUAGGAGGUGCCAUAAUAGGGAAACAUAGGAAGGGAACCCAACCCAAAGGGCUGGGAAGACUUCCUGGAAGAAACGACACUUAAGCAGACACCUCAAGGAUAAAAAAGAAUUGGCCAGUGAAGAGGUGGAACAUGUUCCUGGCAGAUGGUACAGCAUAUGCCAAGACCCAUAGGCAAGAGACUCUGAAAGAAAUUCAAUAUGGCUAGAAUAGAAUGGUGGGGAUGAGACUGAAGUUAGACAAAUAGGCAGGAGCUAGAUCACGUGAGGCCUUACAAACCAUGCUAAGUUAAGACUUCAUCCUUAGAGCAAUGGGGGAGCCACUCCAGGAACUUCUAUUUGAAGCACAUAUACAUUAUCUAUACUCCCCUUGAUGUCAUGGGCAAGGAGGGGAAGGGGGACAUAAUUCCUUUCACUGACAAAUACCAUAUUAUCCUCUUUAUCUCAUUAUGGGCUCUCUCUUUCUCCCCCCAACUCCCCCCCCCAAGUGUGUAUGUGCAUAUGUGCUGGCAGAAAAGAAUUUCCCAUCUAUCUGGCAUUCUUUCUCCCCCAAAAUGGUCUUCCAAAGGACUCUCUGUCUUCUUUAGCCUCCAAACCUCCUGUAGGAAAACAACCUGUUGCAUGGCAACAGUGAUGCCAUCUGGAAGCAGAACUGCUAUGAUGACCGAUGUUUCAUCCCUGCAUGCCACAGUAUUCUGCAGCAAGAUCUUCAAACUAUGCUCAUAGCAUAGAUAACCCCUCAUAAAGAAACAAUACCUGUAGCAUGGACAACUCUUCAUGAAGAUGCUUACUCCCCAGUGAUCAUGAGAUUCAAAAGAAAGUAUGCAACACGACCACCUGCACAUAUUUCACCAAAAACACGAUGUCUCCCAGCCACUGAGACAUCGUGUCUGUUGGUAAGUCCCUAUUAAAUGUUUCUCUUUG